CCCGUGCUGGUGCGUUUAGCGUAUUAACAGGUGUGACGCAGGAAGGUAGCCGAGCCGGGCGAUGGUUGUCCCGGUCUAAGGAUGUAGGGCGAACGAUAGGCAAAUCCGUCGUUCAUAUAGCCUGAGAUCUGAUGGGUAGACGCAAGUCGAAAUCGGUGAUCCUAUGCUGCCAAGAAAAGCAUCGACGCGAGGUUCUAGCUGCCCGUACCCCAAACCGACUCAGGUGGUCAGGUAGAGAAUACUAAGGAGAUCGAGAGAAUCGUGGUUAAGGAACUCGGCAAAAUGCCCCCGUAACUUCGGGAGAAGGGGGGCCUGAGGCGUGAACGGACUUGCUCCGGGAGCGUUCGAUGGCCGCAGAGACCAGUGGGAAGCGACUGUUUACUAAAAACACAGGUCCGUGCUAAGUCGCAAGACGAUGUAUACGGACUGACGCCUGCCCGGUGCUGGAAGGUUAAGAGGAACGGUUAGCCGCAAGGCGAAGCUGAGAAUUUAAGCCCCAGUAAACGGCGGUGGUAACUAUAACCAUCCUAAGGUAGCGAAAUUCCUUGUCGGGUAAGUUCCGACCUGCACGAAUGGCGUAACGACUUCCCAGCUGUCUCAACCGCGAACUCGGCGAAAUUGCAUUACGAGUAAAGAUGCUCGUUACGCGCAGCAGGACGGAAAGACCCCGUGACCUUUACUAUAGUUUGGUAUUGGUGUUCGGUGUGGCUUGUGUAGGAUAGGUGGGAGACUGUGAAGCGGGCACGCUAGUGUUCGUGGAGUCAUUGUUGAAAUACCACUCUGGUCACUCUGGAUAUCUAACUUCGGACCCUAAUCGGGUUCAGGGACAGUGCCUGAUGGGUAGUUUAACUGGGGCGGUUGCCUCCUAAAGAGUAACGGAGGCGCCCAAAGGUUCCCUCAACCUGGUUGGCAAUCAGGUGUCGAGUGUAAGUGCACAAGGGAGCUUGACUGUGAGACUGACAAGUCGAGCAGGGACGAAAGUCGGGACUAGUGAUCCGGCAGUGGCUUGUGGAAGCGCUGUCGCUCAACGGAUAAAAGGUACCUCGGGGAUAACAGGCUGAUCUUGCCCAAGAGUCCAUAUCGACGGCAUGGUUUGGCACCUCGAUGUCGGCUCGUCGCAUCCUGGGGCUGGAGUAGGUCCCAAGGGUUGGGCUGUUCGCCCAUUAAAGCGGUACGCGAGCUGGGUUUAGAACGUCGUGAGACAGUUCGGUCCCUAUCCGCUGCGCGCGCAGGAAAUUUGAGAAGAUCUAUCCCUAGUACGAGAGGACCGGGAUGGACGAACCUCUGGUGUGUCAGUUGUUCCGCCAGGAGCACCGCUGAUUAGCUACGUUCGGAACGGAUAACCGCUGAAAGCAUCUAAGCGGGAAGCCGGCUUCGAGAUGAGAUUUCCAUCCCUUCGGGGGAGAGGCUCCCAGCCAGACGACUGGGUUGAUAGGCCGGAUGUGGAAGACAGGACUAAAGACUGUCGGAGCUGACCGGUACUAAUAAGCCGAUAACUUGAUAAU
rnacentral:rRNA from 1 species